rnacentral:rRNA from 1 species
AUUGAACGCUGGCGGCAUGCUUUACACAUGCAAGUCGAACGGCAGCGCGGGGCAACCUGGCGGCGAGUGGCGAACGGGUGCGUAAUACAUCGGAACGUACCCAGAAGUGGGGGAUAACGUAGCGAAAGUUACGCUAAUACCGCAUACGUUCUACGGAAGAAAGUGGGGGACCUUCGGGCCUCAUGCUUUUGGAGCGGCCGAUGUCUGAUUAGCUAGUUGGUGAGGUAAAGGCUCACCAGGGCGACGAUCAGUAGCUGGUCUGAGAGGACGACCAGCCACACUGGGACUGAGACACGGCCCAGACUCCUACGGGAGGCAGCAGUGGGGAAUUUUGGACAAUGGGCGCAAGCCUGAUCCAGCAAUGCCGCGUGAGUGAAGAAGGCCUUCGGGUUGUAAAGCUCUUUUGUCAGGGAAGAAACGGCUGAGGAUAAUACCUUCGGCUAAUGACGGUACCUGAAGAAUAAGCACCGGCUAACCACGUG